rnacentral:rRNA from 1 species
GUAUUACGCUGGCGGUACGCCUAGACUUGCAUGUCGACCGAUCAGAUUCAGUGCUUGCACUUCUGACGUUAGCGGCGAACGGGUGAGUAACACGUAAGGAAUCUACCUAUAAGCGGGGGAUAACAUUCGGAAACGGGUGCUAAUACCGCAUAAUAUCUUCUUCCGCAUGGAAGAAGAUUGAAAGACGGCUCUGCUGUCACUUAUAGAUGACCUUGCGGGGCAUUAGUUAGUUGGUGGGGUAACGGCCUACCAAGACGAUGAUGCAUAGCCGACCUGAGAGGGUGAUCGGCCACAUUGGGACUGAGACACGGCCCAAACUCCUACGGGAGGCAGCAGUAGGGAAUCUUCCGCAAUGGGCGAAAGCCUGACGGAGCAAUGCCGCGUGAGUGAAGAAGGCCUUCGGGUCGUAAAACUCUGUUAUAAGAGAAGAACAAAUUGUAGAGUAACUGCUACAGUCUUGACGGUAUCUUAUCAGAAAGCCACGGCUAACUACGUGCCAGCAGCCGCGGUAAUACGUAGGUGGCAAGCGUUGUCCGGAUUUAUUGGGCGUAAAGGGAGCGCAGGGUGGUUUCUUAAGUCUGAUGUGAAAGCCCACGGCUUAACCGUGGAGGGUCAUUGGAAACUGGGUAAACUUGAGUACAGAAGAGAAUGUGAACUCCAUGUGUAGCGGUGGAAUGCGUAGAUAUAUGGAAGAACACCGUGGCGAAGCG